GUGAUGUGAGUCAUGCCCGUAUGACCGGUGAUUUUUCCAGGGGUAGCUGA
rnacentral:snoRNA from 1 species